rnacentral:misc_RNA from 1 species
AAGUCGUAAUCUGCUCUAUGCGCACGCCUGCAAUUGAGCGUAGAAGCAGUGGCAUGGCGUCCCCAAGCCUCCAUGAAAGUGUCACUCACCGCGCCCCUAAUCACUCCCUCUGAACCAUACGCCGGCGCCGUUGAAAAGCUGCGCUAAAAAAAACCGAACAACUGUUAACAAUGGAUAUCUUGGUUCUC